CCUACGGGAGGCAGCAGUGGGGAAUAUUGGGCAAUGGUCGCAAGCCUGACCCAGCCACGCCGCGUGAAGGAAGAAGGCUUUCGGGUUGUAACCUUCUUUUCUCAGGGACGAAGAAAGUGACGGUACCUGAGGAAUAAGCCACGGCUAACUACGUGCCAGCAGCCGCGGUAAUCCGUAGGUGGCAAGCGUUAUCCGGAUUUAUUGGGUGUAAAGGGCGUGUAGGCGGGAGCGCAAGUCAGAUGUGAAAACUCAGGGCUCAAACCUGAGCCUGCAUUUGAAACUGUGUUUCUUGAGUGCUGGAGAGGCAAUCGGAAUUCCGUGUGUAGCGGUGAAAUGCGUAGAUAUACGGAGGAACACCAGUGGCGAAGGCGGAUUGCUGGACAGUAACUGACGCUGAGGCGCGAAAGCGUGGGGAGCAAACAGGAUGAGAUACCCGGGUAGUC
rnacentral:rRNA from 1 species